AGGACGAACGCUGGCGGCGUGCUUAACACAUGCAAGUCGAGCGGUAAGGCUCCUUCGGGAGUACACGAGCGGCGAACGGGUGAGUAACACGUGAGCAAUCUGCCCUUCACUUUGGGAUAACUUCCGGAAACGGAAGCUAAUACCGAAUACGACCACUUCAGGCAU
rnacentral:rRNA from 1 species